AUGCAUUGGAUGGAUGCCUGAGCAUUGAGAAGGAAGGAAACUUUCAGAGGCGAAAGGCCAUGGGAAGAUACUAUCUGUGAUACAUGGAUCUCCGAUCGGAAAACUGUAUCCAAGCUUCGCAGCUAGUCUGCGCUAUUUGGACUUUUAAAACUUAGCAAACUGAAACAUCUUAGUAGUUAAAGGAAGGGAAAUCAACCGAGACCCCAUUAGUAGCAGCAAGCGAGAGCAGAUUAUGCUUUAAAGAAAAAGAAAAAUGAAGCAAAGUCUUCACUUCUUUUUCACUUCAUUCAAUUUGUUGUGCAUUGGAUGAUGGAAAAACCAGCAAGCCCCUUUCAUUGAAAGGGCGUAGUGAACUUGAAUUGUUAAAGGGAUGGAAGAUCUUGCCAAAGAAGGUGAUGGCCCUAUAGAUUUUGUUCCCAUGGUUCAAUCCUUCCCAGUAAAACGCAGCAUGUUCAAAUUUUGAUCGCUUUUACGCGAGAAAGGGGGACCACCCUCUAAGCCUAAGUAUUCCUCAAUGACUGAUAGCAUACAAGUACCGUGAGGGAAAGGUGAAAAGAACCCUAUUUAGGGAGUGCAAUAGAGAACCUAAGAUUCGAUGCGAACAAUCAGUCGAAGGAGUAGAGCUGAAAGCCUUUACUUUAGAUUCUAUUAGUAAAGCGCACUCAUUCUAACGGUGUACCUUUUGCAUGAUGGGUCAGCGAGAAAAUAGGAACAACUGAUUAAGCCAUUAGGUAUAGGCGCUUUUCAGAGGUGGAAUAUUAUAGUUCUUUCUAUUUGACCUAAAAUCGAUCGAUCUAACCCUAAGCAAGUUGAAGAGAGCUCUAAUAGGCCUUGGAGGACCGAACCCAUGUAUGUGGCAAAAUACGAGGAUGACUUGUGGCUAUGGGUGAAAGGCAAACCAAAAUCGAAUAUAGCUGGUUUUCUGUGAAAUCUAUUUCAGUAGAGCGUAUGAUGUCGAUGGCCCGAGGUAGAGCACUCAAUGGGCUAGGGUGGCCCCAUUUCGCCUUACCAACCUAGGGAAACUCUGAAGACAUGCCUAGAUCGUUUUUAAAGACAGACUUUUAGGGUGCUAAGAUCCAAAGUCGAGAGGGAAACAACCCAGAUCGUUCGCUAAGGUCCCUAAGCAAUCACUUAGUGGAAAGGAAGUGAUCGGGCGAUGAAAACCAUGAGGUUGGCUUGGAAGCAGCCAUCCUUUGAAGAAAGCAUAAUAGCGCACUAGUCUAGCUCCAUGGCAUCGAAAAUGUAUCAGGGCUGAAGUGAUUCACCGAAUUGACGAGACCUUGAAAGUUUUUCAAUUGUUAGUAGUGGGACGUUCUAUCAAUAGGAGAAGGUUUUUGGUAACAAGAGCUGAAGAUAUUAGAAGUGAGAAUGCUGACAUGAGUAACGAUAAACCCUGUGAAAAACACGAUCGCCUGCUAAUGGAAGGCUUUCUGCAUUCAGUCAAACUACACAGAGUAAAUCAGUCUCUAAGGAAGCCCUGAAAGGGUUGCCGUCCGAUGGGUACACGAAUGUGACGAAGUUCCUUUGACUACAGAACCAUGCAUGUUUGUAGGAGUGAAUUGGAUGAUCGGGUCGAGGGCAUCUUAAACCCCUCUUCCCCUCACUCUCCUUUCCUUAAGAUGAACCUUGAGUCAUCAUAACCUUUCUGACUCGGCCUGGCUCGGUCGCCCUACGCGACUAACACUACUAAAGGUAGUUGACCUGCUUACUCGAUAGAGUCGGGGUCGCGAGAUAGUAGAGCGUAUCGCCAUGCCAUAGUAGCGAGUCUGUUUAUAGUCACAACUGUUGUCAUAGUCAACAAGGUUGAAACUUCCAAGAAAAAACUUCGAAAUAGGAGGGCAAUCCUCUCACUCAGAAUCGGAAGAAGUGACUGUACUCUAAAUUGACACAGGUGAACAACUAGAGUAUACUAGGGCGCUUGAGAGAAACAUGUCGAAGGAACUCGGCAAAAUGACCUUGAAACUUCAGGAUAAAGGGUGCUAUCCUAUCUUUUGAUUAGGAAAGCGACACAUACCAGGGGGUAGCAACCGUUUAGUAAAAACACAGGACUCUGCUAAGUGGUAACAUGAUGUAUAGAGUCUAACACCUGCCCGGUAGUGGAAGGUCGGAAGGAGAAGUCUUAUAAAGUUUGAAUGGAAGCCCUAGUAAACGGCAGCGGUAACUCUAACUAUCCUAAGCUAUGGAAAUUCCUUGUCGCAUAAGUAGUGACCUGCACGAAUGGUGUAAUGACUACCCCACUGUCUCCGACAUGGACCUAGUGAAAUUG
rfam:Lupinus angustifolius cultivar Tanjil chromosome LG20, whole genome shotgun sequence.